CACACUGGCCGGGCUAUGUUUAACUUUUUGAGGAACCACCAAACUGUUUUCCACGGCAGCUGAAACUUUUACAUUUCAAGUAAUACAAUUUUAAAGGUUCCAAAGAUAUUGGGUACAAAAGAAGGAAAAAAUAUUCUCUUAAACUACUGUUUUCUAAGUUGAAAUUUUUAAAUUAUUUACUUAAUCUAAGUAGACUUUUGGUGUGCAGCCUGAUUGGAACCCCUGUUCCACAGUUAGCACAGAGUGGGGGCUGGCUCCCCACCCUCCUCCUGCCCAUGUCUCACUUGUCCUCCAUACACACAGUCACUUGUAACUUAUCAUUACUGAUUUUGAAUGGAAGUUUUCAACUGCUCCAUUCUUCCUCUUUUCAUUGAAAGGCUGCCCAUGUACAGCCUUAGCUGCUGCUAUCUGUGUUGUUUGACUAGCUGCCAUGUUACUGGCUACACUUCCCAUGGAAUAAACCCCUCAAGUGUGGAUGGUAAAUGAUGAAAAGCUGGCACAAAAGUAAGAAGGCAGGCAGUGUUUCACUGACACCCCUCAAGUGAUCAACUUGGUCCCAUGUGCCAUACUCUAUGUGCCCAAGCUCCAGGGCCAUUCAUGCACUGGGAAAUAACCAUUCAUCCUUCUUUCUUUCCUCCCUCCCUCACUCCCCCCAUUCUUUCCUUCCUCCUUUUUUUCAUUCAACAAACAUACUGGGAACAAAGCACCUAAUCAGAUACUGUUCUAGGCAUUUUUAUAUGAGCUGUGAUGUAUAAGACUCAUAAUAUGAAGUUAGUAUUAUUCUCAGUUCAAAAUGAGGAACUGGAGAUUAGAAAAAUUAAAGAAAGUUUUCCAAAGUCACAGAACUAGUAGGUAGUGGAAUCAGGACUUGAAACUGGGCCUAGAUUAUUUAGAAUUCCCUUUCUCUUCCUUGACUUUCCUCCCCCUUUUCCUCUCUGUCUCCCUUCCUUCUGCACUUAUUUCCAUCACGUUCCAUGUGCCAGGCACCCAACACAGACACUAAAGAUGCCAUAGUGAAUAAGACGGACAGGUGCAAACUCUUUCCCAUUACUCUUUCACGGAGUCCUAUGGUCCCUGGGCAUCAUCUCAAACCCACUCAAUUUCUUCUCAAAUGUUCUCUCUCACAUAAUGAACAAAUGUAGCAGAUCAAAGAGCUGUCAUGUUGAAGAUGAAUUAAAUUCAGGGCCUGGGUUUAUUCCUCCUUUGAUCAAGCCCCAAAAGCUCAUGGUUCAAAGAUGUGAUUAAUAAAUCUGAUCACACCCUCCCCUGCUCCAAAACCUCUGGUGGUCCAGGGCCUACAGACAUUUCUGUGACAUGAGAAAUGGUAAAGAUCCAGGUCCAGCUGAUAAGCUGAACCACAUGGAAAGGCCGGGGAGAGCAUUUUAAGAAGUGCUUUUCUGUGCGUAACGUGAAAUUCAUGGAUGGAGUGGCAUCAGGCCGCGGAGGCAUUUCUUCAAACUGAGAAGCAAGGUGAAGGCUUCAAGGCUGAAAGGUCACCUCUCUUCAGAGGAAAGUACCCUCAAGACAUGUGCACACCAGUUCAUUUGUGUAUAACGCCCAUCUGCAUACUCAGAAGUUGGGGGUUGAGAUGAACCAGGGGCCUCUAAAGGGAGUUCUGGAGGCCAGAAGUUUAAAAUGAAGUUGCUGGCAGCUGGACCUUCUGGAUGUUCUGAAGGUGAAUCCUUUCCAUGCCUCUCUUCCAGCUUCUGUGGCUCUGGCUAUGAAGAUGGCCACCUGAUGAAGAGCUGAGGCCUCCUGCCACCAGGGGUGUGAGGGAACCAUCUCAGAAGUAGGCCCUCCAGCCCCAGUCAAGCCUGCAGGUGCCUGCAACCCCAGCUGACAUUUGACUGCAACUUCAUGAGACACCCUGGACCAGAAUGAUCCAGCUAAGCCACUCCUG